CCUCCGCCACCGAGACAGCGGGUGCGCCGCCCCGCCCCAGCAGAGAGGGAAGCAGGUUCGGGACAGCUCGUCCUUCAACAGCUGCCGGGUCAAGCCCAAUAGAACCAGAAAGAGAGCGCGUCAUUAAGCAGGAGACUCUGGAGAAGAUGGUCCUGGUGACCAGCCACCGUGUGCAAAGAAAGGAAGCAAAGCUAACUGCUACUCAAACACUGUCCACCCCAAUCUCACCAGUAUCUUACACACACACACACACGCAUGCGCGCGCACACGCACACACACACAUACGCAUGCGUGCACACACACACACACACACAUGCACACACGCAACAUAUGCACACAACACAACACACACACAAACACACACAUGCAUAUGCCCAGGCAUAGGGAAAUAUACAUACACACAAAUACAAACUAGAUUCCCCCCAGCUGGCUUCCCACUUCCUUUAUGUUGAGCUGGUGACAUCAUUUCAUUCAGUCAUGCAGAAAUUAGCAUUAAUCCUGAAAAAUUGCUCUUAAAGCAAAAUGGUCUGUGUUAGUAUGUAAAACCGUAAAGGAAUUUUCAACAAAACAGA